rnacentral:rRNA from 1 species
CAUGCAAGUCGAACGAUGAUCUCCAGCUUGCUGGGGGGAUUAGUGGCGAACGGGUGAGUAACACGUGAGUAACCUGCCCUUGACUCUGGGAUAAGCACUGGAAACGGUGUCUAAUACCGGAUACGACCUUCCGCCGCAUGGUGAGGGGGUGGAAAGAAUUUCGGUCAAGGAUGGACUCGCGGCCUAUCAGCUUGUUGGUGAGGUAAUGGCUCACCAAGGCUGACGACGGGUAGCCAGGCCUGAGAGGGUGACCGGCCACACUGGGACUGAGACAC